rnacentral:rRNA from 1 species
UACGGGGGGGGCAAGCGUUGUUCGGAAUUACUGGGCGUAAAGGGCUCGUAGGCGGCCAACUAAGUCAGACGUGAAAUCCCUCGGCUUAACCGGGGAACUGCGUCUGAUACUGGAUGGCUUGAGUUUGGGAGAGGGACGCGGAAUUCCAGGUGUAGCGGUGAAAUGCGUAGAUAUCUGGAGGAACACCGGUGGCGAAGGCGGCGUCCUGGACCAAUACUGACACUGAUGAGCGAAAGCCAGGGGAGCAAACGGG